rnacentral:rRNA from 1 species
CCUGCCUUGGAGUGGGGAAUAACACAGAGAAAUUUGUGCUAAUACCGCAUAAUGCAGCUGAGUCGCAUGGCUCUGGCUGCCAAAGAUUUAUCGCUCUGAGAUGGACUCGCGUCUGAUCAGCUAGUUGGCGGGGUAACGGCCCACCAAGGCGACGAUCAGUAGCCGGACUGAGAGGUUGGCCGGCCACAUUGGGACUGAGACACGGCCCAGACUCCUACGGGAGGCAGCAG